GACGAACGCUGGCGGCGUGCUUAACACAUGCAAGUCGAACGGAAAGGCCCUGCUUUUGUGGGGUGCUCGAGUGGCGAACGGGUGAGUAACACGUGAGUAACCUGCCCUUGACUUUGGGAUAACUUCAGGAAACUGGGGCUAAUACCGGAUAGGAGCUCCUGCUGCAUGGUGGGGGUUGGAAAGUUUCGGCGGUUGGGGAUGGACUCGCGGCUUAUCAGCUUGUUGGUGGGGUAGUGGCUUACCAAGGCUUUGACGGGUAGCCGGCCUGAGAGGGUGACCGGCCACAGUGGGACUGGGGUACGGCCCAGACUCCUACGGGAGGCAGCAGUGGGGAAUAUUGCACAAUGGGCGGAAGCCUGAUGCAGCAACGCCGCGUGCGAGAUGACGGCCUUCGGGUUGUAAACCGCUUUCGCCUGUGACGAAGCGUGAGUGACGGUAAUGGGGAAAGAAGCACCGGCUAACUACGU
rnacentral:rRNA from 1 species